rnacentral:rRNA from 2 species
GAUUGAACGCUGGCGGCAUGCCUAACACAUGCAAGUCGAACGGUAACAGGCCGUAUGGGAUCCCUUCGGGGUGACCUUGGCGCUGACGAGUGGCGGACGGGUGAGUAAUACUUAGGAAUCUGCCCAAUAGUGGGGGACAACUCGAGGAAACUCGAGCUAAUACCGCAUACGCCCUACGGGGGAAAGCGGGGGAUCUUCGGACCUCGCGCUAUGGAUGAGCCUAAGUCGGAUUAGCUUGUUGGUAGGGUAAAGGCCUACCAAGGCGACGAUCCUUAGCUGGUCUGAGAGGACGAUCAGCCACACUGGGACUGAGACACGGCCAGACUCCUACGGGAGGCAGCAGUGGGGAAUAUGGACAAUGGGCGCAAGCCUGAUCCAGCAAUGCCGCGUGUGUGAAGAAGGCCUGCGGGUUGUAAAGCACUUUCAGUAGAGAAGAAAAGCUUACGGUUAAUACCUGUGAGUCUUGACGUAACCUACAGAAGAAGCACCGGCUAACUCCGUGCCAGCAGCCGCGGUAAUACGGAGGGUGCAAGCGUUAAUCGGAAUUACUGGGCGUAAAGCGCGCGUAGGCGGUUUAGUCAGUCGGAUGUGAAAGCCCAG